CUUAUUCAGGCUCUCUGAAUUGAUCUGGAACUAGGUGCCCUUGGUGGAGGAAAUUGACCUAAGGGGCAAGGUGAAGGGACUGGACAUUCCUGGAGGAUUAAGAGAGGCUCCUGGUAAACAGACUUUGAAAGGACUCUGGCCAGCCUGAGCAUGAUAGAUGCUGUUUGAUGGAGAUUGGAACUUCGGAAGCACAUGGCAUUUGUCAAUCUUACAUUGUUUUAGGACAGGUACAAUGAGUACUGCUCAUGUCCUUCUUUAGCCUCUGGAGUUCCUAGACUCCAGAGAAAAUUACCUCAGAGAACACUUCUUGAAAACUGCAAUAGGAGAUCGGUGGGAGUUUAAGGCUGCCAGGAAGCUGUUUACUACAUUGUGACUGUCCGGAAUAGUCAAGUCAGCGGGACAGAAGCCCUGAGUCGACAUAUUUCUUACUAUGGAUGGUGUAAGUGAUAUAGUAUAUCUUAUCAGAUCUCCUCUCAUGUUGUAAUAUAGUCAUUUCAUAUUUAAAGGUAUUGUCCUGCAGGAGCCUAGUAUGGCUAUUCCCU